GCGAUGUUGGCUGUAGAUAUAUCCAUGUUGUGGCUUGACUCAGUGGUUUCAAUAUUGGGUGUAUUUUUUUCAGAAGGCAUGU